AUUGAACGCUGGCGGCAUGCCUUACACAUGCAAGUCGAACGGCAGCGCGGACUUCGGCCUGGCGGCGAGUGGCGAACGGGUGAGUAAUACAUCGGAACGUACCCUGUUGUGGGGGAUAACUAGUCGAAAGAUUAGCUAAUACCGCAUACGACCUGAGGGUGAAAGUGGGGGACCGGAAACGGCCUCAUGCAGCAGGAGCGGCCGAUGUCUGAUUAGCUAGUUGGUGGGGUAAAGGCCCACCAAGGCGACGAUCAGUAGCUGGUCUGAGAGGACGAUCAGCCACACUGGGACUGAGACACGGCCCAGACUCCUACGGGAGGCAGCAGUGGGGAAUUUUGGACAAUGGGGGCAACCCUGAUCCAGCAAUGCCGCGUGUGUGAAGAAGGCCUUCGGGUUGUAAAGCACUUUUGUCCGGAAAGAAAUCGCGCUGGUUAAUACCUGGCGUGGAUGACGGUACCGGAAGAAUAAGCACCGGCUAACUACGUG
rnacentral:rRNA from 1 species